UGCCAGCCGCCGCGGUAAUACGAAUGGGGCAAGCGUUGUUCGGAAUCACUGGGCUUAAAGCGUGCGUAGGCGGAAAUGAAAGUCAGAAGUGAAAUCCCAGGGCUCAACCCUGGAACUGCUUUUGAAACCACAAGUCUUGAGGGGAUCAGAGGAGAGCGGAACUGAUGGUGGAGCGGUGAAAUGCGUUGAUAUCAUCAGGAACACCAGUGGCGAAGGCGGCUCACUGGCUCGAUACUGACGCUGAGGUGCGAAAGCGUGGGGAGCAAACAGGAUUAGAUA
rnacentral:rRNA from 1 species